AUUGAACGCUGGCGGCAUGCCUUACACAUGCAAGUCGAACGGCAGCAUGGGUGCUUGCACCUGAUGGCGAGUGGCGAACGGGUGAGUAAUGCAUCGGAACGUACCUUUCAGUGGGGGAUAACGUAGCGAAAGUUACGCUAAUACCGCAUAUUCUGUGAGCAGGAAAGCAGGGGAUCUUCGGACCUUGCGCUGAUGGAGCGGCCGAUGUCAGAUUAGCUAGUUGGUGGGGUAAAAGCCUACCAAGGCGACGAUCUGUAGCGGGUCUGAGAGGAUGAUCCGCCACACUGGGACUGAGACGCGGCCCAGACUCCUACGGGAGGCAGCAGUGGGGAAUUUUGGACAAUGGGGGCAACCCUGAUCCAGCCAUGCCGCGUGAGUGAAGAAGGCCUUCGGGUUGUAAAGCUCUUUCGGACGGGAAGAAAUCGUGGUGGCUAAUAUCUGCCAUGGAUGACGGUACCGUAAUAAGAAGCACCGGCUAACUACGUGCCAGCAGCCGCCGUAACAC
rnacentral:rRNA from 1 species